GCUCUCCAUGUCUCCGGCGGCCGGGACGGCGAAGCGGAGGCGAGGUCGGUCGGUUCGUGGAGCUACCGGCGGAAGAGACCGUGGUAGAUCAGCGGGCCGAGAGACGAUCCGGCCAACGCCAACGAGCUAUCCAUGUCGCCGACGGCCGGAACGGCGAAGCGGAGGUGGUGGAGCUUCGUCCGACGGCAUGCCUCCACACCGCGCUGCCCGCCGCGUGCCCUCAAGAACCUAGUGUAGCGGUACAGCACGACAAUCUCCUUGCUUCCUUCGUCCCCGUCGGCGGCCUCCGCCGCAGCACGCAUGAAGGGCGACGGCGGCAAACCGGGCGGCCCAAGGAACUCUCCGUUCGGCACAGUGCUGCUGGUUUGGUCGCUAAACUUGAUGUUUAACUCUUGUAAUUGUUGGUCAACCGCGGCUCCUCCUCCACAUCACUGAAAUACGGGAAUUACAUUUUCUCUUUUACCAGAUGGAGGAGAAGCAAAAGUUGUUGUGUUAUGUGUACAGAUAACCUGAAGUUUUGGGAAAGGAAUUUUAAACAUGUGCUUUGGUAUUACAAUGGCAGGCUGCAGGCAUGUGGUCUUAUGAAAUAUUAUAAAUUCU
rnacentral:lncRNA from 1 species